rnacentral:rRNA from 1 species
AACGAACGCUGGCGGCAUGCCUAACACAUGCAAGUCGAACGAGACCUUCGGGUCUAGUGGCGCACGGGUGCGUAACGCGUGGGAACCUGCCCUUAGGUUCGGAAUAACUCCCCGAAAGGGGUGCUAAUACCGGAUAAUGUCUUCGGACCAAAGAUUUAUCGCCUUUGGAUGGGCCCGCGUUGGAUUAGCUAGUUGGUAGGGUAAAAGCCUACCAAGGCGACGAUCCAUAGCUGGUCUGAGAGGAUGAUCAGCCACACUGGGACUGAGACACGGCCCAGACUCCUACGGGAGGCAGCAGUGGGGAAUAUUGGACAAUGGGCGAAAGCCUGAUCCAGCAAUGCCGCGUGAGUGAUGAAGGCCUUAGGGUUGUAAAGCUCUUUUACCCGGGAUGAUAAUGACAGUGCCGGGAGAAUAAGCUCCGACUAACUCCGUG